UGGCAACGUUCUACACCCGGUGUUUACGGGAGCUGCCAACAAUAAAUAUCUCAGAUGUGCAUCGUUUAUGUCGGGAAACAAAAACUCAGACAAGCAAAUUGGAGAAGGGGUUUAGGCUGUAUGCUGCGACCUACAUUCACAGCUACGAAGCCUCAGUCACCUCCCUUUUACCUGCAUUGUGACUUGUGCCACUACGCAACGGUUGCUCUACCGGAUGGCUUCGUAACUAAUCCCUGGCACUCAGCUGACAGAGUAGUGUUCCUGUCCGGGCCGUAUCUUUGGGAGGCGCGGUUUGGUGGUUUGCCGUGUACUUGCAUGUAGAUAAGUAGGGUGUUACCAGCUCAAUUCAUAAUUUUUUACAAUUGUUUAUUAAUAGUAUGUUGUUCUAGGACCAGCAUUGGUGGAGUUGGAGACGGUCACAUUCUGGCGCUGGCG
ensembl:lncRNA